rnacentral:sRNA from 1 species
CAACAAAGCUGUGUUCGGCAACUUAAUGUCCACUGGAUCAAGAACCAUCUGAUGUUCUGGAUGGUAAGCAUGAUCAGAGAUAUUCCAUGAAAUAUGUGCCGCCCACUAUCCACAUGUCUUGGUUUCUCUAUUUGCAGGAUAAGGUCAGGCUCAAAACAACACUUCCGCACCAUCUUCAAAGCCUCAAACUUGUCAUAUGAUUACAAUCCCGCUAGCAUGGACUCGGCCUCUUCCCAGAUUGAUUGGAAUUCUAACUGCGAAUUCUUUAAAUUCACGCGUGGUCGCUUUAUUGUGGAUGAGGCAGAGAAUCUCCGAAAGCGAGAGAUCAGAUUCGACCUUAAUAAGCUCACAAGAGUCGCCGCAAACUCAGUCGGAGCCGCUCGAUGCGUUGCUGUCAAGAAGCAUCCUGACGGCAUGUUCAACAAAGCCUUCCUUAUGUCUAUGGAUGAUGGGCGAGAAGUAAUAGCGAAGGUUCCAAACCCGAAUGCCGGUGUUCCGCACUAUACCACUGCCAGCGAAGUGGCCACGAUGGACUUUGCUAGAAAAACUCUUGACACACCUGUCCCUCGCGUAUACGCGUGGAAUUCGCAAGCAAAAACACAUCCCGUGGGUGCUGAAUUUAUCAUCAUGGACAAAGUCGAAGGUGUUCCGCUGUCCCAAGUAUGGAGCUCCAUGAAAUUACCCCAGAAGCUCCAGGUCCUCCUUGCCAUUACACGCCUCCAGAAGCAAUGGCUGAGCGUUUCUUUCUCCCAUUACGGGAGCUUGUAUUACGCGGGAGACGUGCAGCCUCCAGCAGGUAAUCACUAUAUCAAGGACGGUGAGGUCGUCAGUGAUUCAGAGUUCGUGAUUGGUCCAGCUACAGGCCGGGACUGGUGUGACGCAGGCCGAUCGAUUCUAGACGUUGAUAAGGGGCCAUGGGUAUCUUUGACACAGCAUCUGCAGGCAGUCGGCAUGCGAGAGGCGAUGGCUGUCCAGUGUUUAAAGCCCCCCAAACAGAUUGCCUUGUUCUGUGGCCCAAAGCUCUACCGACCGAAUAUGGGAAACAAAAGUGCUGCUUUAGAUUGUUACCGACAAGUCGUCGAUGCCCUUAUUCCCAAGGAUACAGCCAUCACCCGACCCUGCCUCUGGCACGAUGAUUUGCAUGAUGACAACGUCUUCGUAGACCCGCAUAAUCCCGCAAAAAUUACGGGUAUCAUCGACUGGCAGUCAUGUCAUAUCUCACCCCUCUUCAACCACAAUAUCGAUCCCGCUUUCCUUGACUGGGACGGCCUUGAACCGGAGACACUCGAUCUUGCACCACGGCCUAAUAUCUCCGGGCUCUCACUGGAAGAACGCUCCGCGGCCGUACAUGAGUAUACCACCCAAAAUGUGUUCAUCGGGUGGCGGAAACUCAUGCAAGCCAAAAACCCAGAGUUAUAUCGAACAGUCGAUUUUCGAAAGACAGCAGCGUACGGGCUCAUAUUUCUUGCCCACCGAAUGUUUGAAUACGGCGAGGCACACUUCCGAUCUCUUCUGGCCGAUCUGAAGGGGACCUGGGCAGAGUUACCUGCCGUCACGAGCGAUAUCCCAUUCCCGUUUAACUUUUCGGAAGCAGACUACGAGCGUAUCAAAGUGGAUUGUGAUGGUGCAGUGGCAGGAACCGAGCUUGUUUCAGAGGCUAAGGAGAGACUGGGCGAUUUAUGGCCUGACAAGGGCUUUAUCGAGCGCGAGCGGUACCGUGAUUGCAAAAUUGCCCUUGACAAAGUAAAAGAUUUGAUAUUGGAGCAACUAGCUGAAACUGACGACGAAAGGGCUGAGUACGAGCGUUAUUGGCCUUUUGAUUAAUCGAUAUUAUCCUAUCGGCUUCUUGUACGUCGCAUGGUCCAGCUUUACCUGAAGCACUUUUUAGAUUAUACUAGAGCAGCUUAUAACGUAGAACUUUUCAUGAUAUGGAAAUUUAUUGAACAAGUAAUGAGGCAAUAGUAGCGUUACUGUAACGGGCGUGCUACCAAUUAAACCAGCAUUGCAAAUUGCAUUGUUUGAACUGUCAGCACUAUCUACAACAGAUAUACUAUCAGCAACAGAUAUAUAAACAGAUUAAAGACUCUAAAUACAGAUUAUAAAUUGAUUAAGAAAAGAAAGAGAAAAAAGAUCAGAAAAAAAGAUUAUAAAAAGAG